ACUACUUCCGCCUUCUUCGCGGCGUCGCCUCCGGUACUGACGUCACCAGCCAAGCCUUAAAGACCCACAGCAGAAAACACCGGUUAAACUGUGGUGGUGGUAGGGUUGAGGGAGAAAAACCUGGGGUUAAGCGGAAAUGACUCACAGAAGGAACAAAAGGCAAAGAAAGAUGACGAGAGGACCCACCAAUCAGGAAAGGGAGUUAUAAAAACAACGUCCGGGUUAAAUGGAAACUGGAGAGGUGCUGAAAGACACCCGUUGCUGUUUCUGCUGCAACAGCUACCCCUUGAGAAGCUUUGAACACAUACUCAACAGUUCCUGGUAGCACCUGGCCAUCUUCUUGCAGGCAGGAAGAAUUAGUAAAACAAUCAUGAACUAAUGCCAACAAUGGUGGCUUCUCAGAACUGGGGAAAGCACUCUGGUUUUCUGCAUCCACACCCCUCCUCCAACACAUUCAAUGAUGUCUUACAGAGCUGUGAGAGAAAGGAUUGGUCCUCUGGGAUUUCCAUGUGGAACAAGCUAAACCAGCCUUCAACGACACCAUGAAUAAAACCACACAUGGCAAACCAGCAGAUAGCCAAGGAACGCCAGAUUCCAAGAGGGGCAGCUGUACUGCUCGGUGAUCUUGCUGCUAGCCAAGUCACUAUCAAGGGGACCCCUGAGACCGAGAAGAAGAAAGCCAAGAUCUGCCACACAGGGUAGUCAUUUGGGACGUAAUGUUGGAGCUCCAAGUUUCGAGGCCAGUAAGGGUGAGGAAGGGGGUUCACUUCUAGCUUCAUGGCACUUGAGAAGGAGAAGUAAAUCAAGUUACUGAAACUGGUGAAUGCCGUUUCUCCUGGAAGAAAAAAACAGUGUCGGUAAUGAGGAAAGUAUUAACUGUCUAGAAGGCACAAGCAUAAUGAAUACAGAUUCCAGGCUAAGAAUGACCAUUGUCAGGAUAUGGGAAAUCCUUGAACCAUUACUCAGAAGUACACAGGAGAAAGUAAUGUGGGGGCUGUUGAUAAAUCUAGAACUGUAACCCAUAUCAAAAGAUUAACAAAAAAAAGACUAUAUAUACAAAUUUAUUAUCAACUACACAGCAAAUUUAAAUAUAGAUUCCCUUUGUUUAGUAGUCCAGAAUAUCUUUCCCUUCAGAACUUGCUGUUUCUUAUCCUCCAUUAGAUGAGAUGACUCCAAAACUAGUGGGUCACAUAAAAAUGUAAAUGUACAGCCUUCAAGUCGAUUCUGACUUAUGGCAACCCUAUGAAUAGUGUUUUCAUUCCACCCAGUGAGCUUCAUGGCUGUGUGGGGAUUUGAACCCUGGUCUCCCAGGUCGUAGUCCAACACCUUAACCACUACACCACACUGGCUCUCUAGUAGAUCACAUAGAAGAAGCAUAAAACAGCCUCCAGGCUUCUCCACGCUGCCUUCAUAUCAUGCAACAGCCGGGUUAUCACAAUAUUUGGGGGGGAACCUUUGGCCCACAGGUCAACCUUGGCCCACCAGGGGGCCCAAUAAAGCCCACAAAGCUGUUUUCCCCACCCUACACCCUUGUCCCACAUCUGAUGUCAGGUGUGAGGUGGCUUCAAAGGAACAGGAGAUUUUUAACAGCAGUUCAAUGCAAACCGCUUCCACCUCCUACAGUAAGGUUCAAAGAGCAUU